UGGAAAACGAGUCUAGCAAUCAGAUAAAGAAUCUUUUACAAAAUGAAGAAAAGAUGGCCUUUGAAAUAUCUCGACUUAAUGAAAAACUAAAUACAGCUAACGAACUAUCUAAAAAAUUAAUUGUCUCGGAAGAAGUUAUGGAAAGUCAUUAUCCAACUGCAUUUUCAAGUCUGAACACGAUCGGGUCGUCCGUAACCUUAACUGAU